rnacentral:rRNA from 1 species
CGCCGGAAGACCAAGGGUUCCUGUCCAACGUUAAUCGGGGCAGGGUGAGUCGACCCCUAAGGCGAGGCCGAAAGGCGUAGUCGAUGGGAAACAGGUUAAUAUUCCUGUACUUGGUGUUACUGCGAAGGGGGGACGGAGAAGGCUAUGUUGGCCGGGCGACGGUUGUCCCGGUUUAAGCGUGUAGGCUGGUUUUCCAGGCAAAUCCGGAAAAUCAAGGCUGAGGCGUGAUGACGAGGCACUACGGUGCUGAAGCAACAAAUGCCCUGCUUCCAGGAAAAGCCUCUAAGCAUCAGGUAACAUCAAAUCGUACCCCAAACCGACACAGGUGGUCAGGUAGAGAAUACCAAGGCGCUUGAGAGAACUCGGGUGAAGGAACUAGGCAAAAUGGUGCCGUAACUUCGGGAGAAGGCACGCUGAUAAGUAGGUGAAGUCCCUCGCGGAUGGAGCUGAAAUCAGUCGAAGAUACCAGCUGGCUGCAACUGUUUAUUAAAAACACAGCACUGUGCAAACACGAAAGUGGACGUAUACGGUGUGACGCCUGCCCGGUG